GAUGAACGCUAGCUACAGGCUUAACACAUGCAAGUCGAGGGGUAACGAGAGGAAAGCUUGCUUUCCUUGUCGACGACCGGCGCACGGGUGAGUAACGCGUAUCCAACCUGCCCCCAACUAGGGAAUAACCUUGCGAAAGUAAGACUAAUACCCUAUAAUUUCCUCAGAUGACAUCUGACGAGGAAUAAAGAUUUAUCGGUUGUGGAUGGGGAUGCGUCUGAUUAGCUUGUUGGCGGGGUAACGGCCCACCAAGGCAACGAUCAGGAGGGGUUCUGAGAGGAAGAUCCCCCACAUUGGAACUGAGACACGGUCCAAACUCCUACGGGAGGCAGCAGUGAGGAAUAUUGGUCAAUGGGCGGAAGCCUGAACCAGCCAAGUAGCGUGCAGGAUGACGGCCCUAUGGGUUGUAAACUGCUUUUAUACAGGAAUAAAGUUAGCCACGUGUGGUUAUUUGUAGGUACUGUAUGAAUAAGGACCGGCUAAUUCCGUGCCAGCCGCCGCAGUAA
rnacentral:rRNA from 1 species